CACGCAGGCGGAUUGAUAAGUCAGGGGUGAAAUCCCGGGGCUCAACCUCGGAAUUGCCUUUGAUACUGUCUGUCUUGAGUUCGGGAGAGGUUGGCGGAAUUCCUAGUGUAGAGGUGAAAUUCGUAGAUAUUAGGAAGAACACCAGUGGCGAAGGCGGCCAACUGGCCCGAUACUGACGCUCAUGUGCGAAAGCGUGGGGAGCAAACAGGAUUAGAUACCCUGGUAGUCCACGCCGUAAACUAUGGAUGCUAGCCGUUGGAGAGCUUGCUCUUCAGUGGCGCAGCUAACGUCUUAAGCAUCCCGCCUGGGGAUACGGUCGCAAGAUUAAA
rnacentral:rRNA from 1 species